rnacentral:rRNA from 1 species
AGAGUUUGAUCAUGGCUCAGGAUGAACGCUGGCGGUGUGCCUAAUACAUGCAAGUCGUGCGAGUAGUUUACUACUAGCGGCGAACGGGUGAGUAACACGUAUCUAACCUACCCAUCAGUCUGGAAUAACAUCGAGAAAUUGGUGCUAAUACUGGAUAGCUAAUAUUUACUUAUGUUUAUAUUACUAAAGGCGCGUUUGCGUCGCUGAUGAAUGGGGAUGCGCAGCAUUAGAUAGUUGGUAGGGUAAGAGCCUACCAAGUCAACGAUGCUUAGCCGGCCUGAGAGGGUGAUCGGCCACACUGGAACUGAGACACGGUCCAGACUCCUACGGGAGGCAGCAGUAGGGAAUUUUCGACAAUGGGGGAAACCUUGAUCGAGCAACACCGCGUGAGGGAUGAAGGAUUUCGGUCUGUAAACCUCUGUUGUAAGGGAAGAACAAGUGGGAUAGGAAAUGAUUCCACCCUGACGGUACCUUACCAGAAAGCGACGGCUAACUUCGUGCCAGCAGCCGCGGUAAUACGAAGGUCGCAAGCGUUAUCCGGAUUUACUGGGCGUAAAGAGUGCGCAGCUGGUCUAUCAAGUCUGAUGUUAAAGUCUGGAGCUCAACUCCAGUCCGCAUUGGAAACUAGUAGACUCGAGUUAUAGAGAGGUAAGUGGAAUUCCUAGUGUAUCGGUGGAAUGAGUAGAUAUUAGGAGGAACACCAGUGGCGAAGGCGACUUACUGGCUAUAUACUGACAGUCAUGCACGAAAGCGUGGGGAGCAAACAGGAUUAGAUACCCUGNUAGUCCACGCCGUAAACGUUGAGUACUAGGUGUUGGCCAUAAGGGCAGUACCGCAGCUAACGCAUUAAGUACUCCGCC